GACGAACGCUGGCGGCGUGCUUAACACAUGCAAGUCGAACGGAAAGGCCCCUUUGGGGGUACUCGAUUGGCGAACGGGUGAGUAACACGUGAGUAACCUGCCCUUGACUUCGUGAUAACUUCAGGAAACUGGGGCUAAUACCGGAUAGGAAUCCUUGCUGCAUGGUGGGGGUUGGAAAGCUUCUGCGGGUUUGGAUGGACUCGCGGCUUAUCAGCUUGUUGGUGGGGUAGUGGCUUACCAAGGCUUUGACGGGUAGCCGGCCUGAGAGGGCGACCGGCCAAAAUGGGACUGAGAUACGGCCCAGAAUCCCACGGGAGGCAGCAGUGGGGAAGAUUGCACAAUGGGCGGAAGCCUGAUGCAGCAACGCCGCGGGCGGGAUGACGGCCUUCGGGUUGGAAACCGCGUUCAGCAGGGGCGAAGCUUGUGGUGACGGUACCUGCAGAAGAAGCACCGGCUAACUACGUG
rnacentral:rRNA from 1 species